rnacentral:misc_RNA from 1 species
GAUGAAGAACGUAGCGAAAUGCGAUAAGUAAUGUGAAUUGCAGAAUUCAGUGAAUCAUCGAAUCUUUGAACGCACAUUGCGCCCGCCAGUAUUCUGGCGGGCAUGCCUGUCUGAGCGUCAUUUCAACCCUCAGCCCCCGCUCGCGGGGCGCUGGCGUUGGGGAUCGGCCGUCCUUGCGGCGGCCGGCCCCGAAACACAGUGGCGGUCUCUCGCGGACUCCCCUGCGUAGUAGCACUACCUCGCAGAAGGGACGAGCGGGCUGACCACGCCGUAAAACCCCCCACUUCUCCAGGUUGACCUCAGAUCAGGUAGGAAUACCCGCUGAACUUAAGCAUAUCAAUAAGCGGAGGA